rnacentral:misc_RNA from 1 species
ACAGGAAGAUGAAUGUAGAUGACUGAAUUGAGAACUGUUUUUGUAAAAAUGGACACCGAUUUAUGUAGGAUUUUCACUUGUCUUAGUUGAUUUAUGUCUCUAUUGUGGGAACAUAUACCGAGGAUUAUACAUACUUGAUUGUUCUAUUGAAUAUUUGUUGGGUUAAACUGUCAAGAAUAUGGAGAACGAGACGAAACCUCGUUCGAGGACCCGCCGUCGUCAAAGAGCUCAGGAGAUGCGUCAGGCCAAACAGCAAAACCAUAAUGAAGGUGGAAGCGGGGACGAAGAGGAAUCGCCGCCGCAAAGCAGAGAAAGGGAGAGAGGAGCUAGACAUCGAAGCCUAAAAAGACACGAAAAGAAGAAGUCCGAGUCCUCUUCGUCCUCAUGUAGCUCUGGGGAAGAAUUUAUAAUAGAUGGCUUUGCAGUCGCUGCAUAUACGAGUCUUGAUGCUCUAGAGACCAUCGAUAAAUCAGCCUAGGAUCGAGAAGCCAGCACAUAGUUGAUCCCUAGCCUGCAAUGAAAACUAAUUGAAGUUCAGUGAACUUUCAAUGUAGUUUAGGCUAGGAAUAUUUGUUUAUGUUACUAACGCUGGUUGUAAACGGAAAAUUUAUUCACAUCAAAGAGGCAGCUGUUGACAAUAAUUACUCAUAGAAGAAUGUUUAAAUAAAACAAAAAACAAAAUUGACAAUCUAUCACCUUCUCAUUGGAUACAUUUUAUUUAACAUGAUAGAUUUACAUUCAAUAUGGCAUUCUCAGUCUGUGUAAAAAUGUAGUUUCCUUUCUAUGAUCAGUAUUAAAUAUUUAUUGUCCCUGUUGGAAUUCGAACCAAUACCCUAGUUUGUAAUGGAAGGAUUAUUCAUGAUUUCAUUAUUUAUAAUAAGGAGUUUGACGUUUAUUUCUUGCAGUUAUACAUAAUAUAAAUAUUCACUUGUUUUAUUUUGACACAGUAUAGGUAGGAUUUAUUUCAUGGUUUAUUUUUGUUGAUACAAUGCAUUUUAAUACAUUUUUAUCUAUACUUUUAUGUUGCUGCAAAAUAUCUCUCAAAAUUUAUAUUUAUUUAAGAUAGUUAUUGAUCAUUAACAGUUUACCCUACAUACUGUACAUGACUUGGUUGACAUCAAAUUAUACUUUAAUUAAUUUAUUAGGCCUAUAUACUGUACAUCCUAUGAAUCCAUGAAAUAUACAGAGUACUGAAAUCUACAAAAAUGUUUUUAUCCUCUUUUUUACAUAUGAUACAAAAUCAAUAAUUUUGUCAGACGUAUAGGUGUAGUACAGAUACAUAAUUUAAGGUUUCUUCUGAGUUUGAACAAGUAUCAAACUAAAUUCAAGGCGGUGAUUUAAAGAAAACAACAGGCUACAACUAGUGUAAUUCAUUUUAUGGCAAUUCACAAUUGUUUACACCAUCAACCAAAAGAAAUUACUAGUUGAUUGCUACUUUCAAAUAACCAGCAGCUCCUGCAGCUACCCUAGAGAAUAUUACAAUGUCACAAACACCAGUUGUAGAAAGAAAGGUGCUUGAAACUGAACCCCAAAUUAAAUUGCACAAUUGAGUGGAUUUCUGACUUCUAGCUCUCUAGCCUGAUCAGCCCCUGAGGAUUGUUUAAGCCUAGCCACAGCUAUGUGCUAACAAAAAGGUGAGUAAAGAAAGCCAUGUAGCGGAAAUGUUACUCACGGGACAUCAGCUUGCGAGAUGCUCCCAAGCAAACAGUUUCUCUUCGGUAAUCAAAUUAGAUUGACAUAGUCUGAGCUUCAAAAUAAUGAUAUGAAGGUCUCUAUUAAUACCUAGUUUUCUACAUUUUUUGAAUUGUAAAUGAUUAUCUUUGUAUGCAUGAUUGUGUAGACUAGAUAGGCCCUUUUUAAAAAAGUUUCAUUAUAAGGUUUAAGGAAUGGAGAUGUUUUUAGUUGUGCGAAAAAAAUCAUAGUACUUCAUAAUAUUUGAACCCAGAAACUUGGGAUUGAAAGGAUGGCAUCUUUACAGCUUUAUUGAUAUUCAGUGUUGCUGUUUUUAUUAUUAGGUUGAAUAAUGCACUAUAAAGCUGAAUAUACAUUACCUGUACCGUAGAGGUCUAGUGCAGUACUGUACUACCUGCAAUGAUGUGAUUUUAUUCAGACUUUUAGUAUAGUAUGUCAAAUUUAGCCAUGUAGUAAUGUUUUUACAUCCAAAUAAAAUGAAAGGAAAUCAAAUGAAUAAGAAAAGAUAAUGUGACUUAAAUAGGUACUAAAUUAUGAUGUUGAAUAGGAUGUGAGGCUCAGUUAAGGUACUGUGAGAUUGUGUAUGGAUACUGACAUAGUUUUACAAACCCAAUUAACGUUUGAAUAUGAAUGCAUUUGUAUAAUCUAUAUCUUUUAGUCUCUAAUGCUAAUAAAAUUGCCAAGGAAAUAUUUCUUUUUAGUUUUUCUUAGCAUGGAGUAAAAAUGUUUGUUCUUUAGUGGUAAAUGCUCAGCAGUGUGUUAUGUGUGAGAAAUUGCUGAACAGUUUUAAAAACUGUCCAUGCAUUAUCUGUACACAUGCACAGUUGACUUUCUGUCUGUAAAUUUCUACUGUCUGUAAAUUUCUACUCACUGACAAAUUAUGUUUCAUGUUUAUGUGCGAUGAUUUAAUUCAAAGUGUAGGUUGCGGUAAUACAAUGAAAAUUGGAGAAAAAUCUGUAAAAUGCAGUUCAAAUAAAUGUUAAUUCGGAUAAUCAACUAUAUAGUAAGGCUACAAUUACAGUAUGUUUGAUGUUUUGGCCUACAGGUAGUCUCUACUACUGUGCCAAGGCAUGACAGUACCUGUAGGAUGAUUAAGGUAUUUUACGAUCAAUUCUGUUUACCAGUGUUUUUCUAGUUCUACUGCAUAAGGCCUGGCAGUAUUGUCGGCAAACCAUUGAUGUUUGCAAGCCUAGCAUAGGUAGUCUACGUCCAAAUGUAUAGGAAUUUGACUCGACCCCGAUUUUAUGUAAAUGCCUUUAAGCCAAUAUAUCAAUGUAAUUGAGGAUUUCUUCUUCAAUGUAGAGCUGAAUAAAGCAAUAAAGGGCUGAUUAAGGUAAUAUGAGGCUAAAUAAAGGUAUUGCGUGGCUGAAUUAGGUUGUAAAAGAAAUAUAAAAUAAAAUAUUAUAUUAUGAACUAAAAUUACAACUGUUAAGACAAAUGUUAACCAGUUUUUUUUAUCAGCACUAAUUAUUAUAAUGUGUUAAUUAACAAGGUACUCUAAUGAUCAAAUGACCAGAUGAAAGAACUCCACUCCCUUAAAGCCUUAUAUUAUAUCCAUAAUGAGACUAUCUAUGUAGAGAAUCUUGUGUGUUUGUCUUGUAAAGGAAUUGCCACUUUAAAAAAAUUGCUUAGGCAAAUCCUUCACUAUUGUGCCUAAAGUUGAAUAGAUAAAUAGAUGAAAGUUUAAAAAUAAUACUUCUUAAGGCCAAGUAAAAAUAUAAAGUAGUUUCUUGCACUAAUAUUUUGAAAAAAAAAAAA